rnacentral:rRNA from 1 species
GACGCACGCUGGCGGCGUGCCUAAUACAUGCAAGUCGAACGCAGUGGGGACGGGUGAGUAACACGUGGGUAACCUCCCAUCAGAGGGGAUAACACUUGGAAACCGGUGCUAACCCGCUACUGAUGGAUGGACCCGCGUGGCAUUCGCUAGUUGGUGAGGUAACGGCGCACCAAGGCCACGAUGCAUAGCCGACCGGAGAGGGUGAUCGGCCACACUGGAACUGAGACACGGCCCAGACUCCUACGGGAGGCAGCAGUAGGGAAUCUUCGGCAAUGGACGAAAGUCUGACCGAGCAACGCCGCGUGAGUGAAGAAGGUUUUCGGAUCGUAAAGCUCUGUUGGUAGAGAAGCGGUAUCUAACCAGAAAGCCACGGCUAACUACGUGCCAGCAGCCGCGGUAAUAC